AUUAGGAAUGAUAUUGUUCAUAUUGUUUCAUCCUGCUACCUGUUUGCAUGUUUUUGUUCGUUUAUCAAAUAUACGCAUGUACUUUGCUUAUCAAUAUCAUGUCCACGUGUUUGUGAAUGGAGGAUAAAGAUACUGUAAUAAUGUUUCAAAGAUGAAUAUCGUUAAACACGUUGAUUAAAUAUUAACAUAUUUUUAAAUCACAUUUAUGAGAGUUAGGCGAAGAUUUUGUGAUGGAUUUUAUAUUUGCUACUGUACAAUAGGGGAGGUUACUGCGUAGGAGACGAACAUUUUCUUAAACCGGUUUAUAAUCAAAUCAAGUAGGACCUACUCCGGUGACCUCAGACGAACAUUCGUGUAAAAAAUGGAUUGAAAUGGACAAUCAUAAAAUUUUGGGCUAUGGACUUAUUGAAGACAACUGUAUGGAGAUAAACAGAAACACAGAGGUGCUAUACAUUCUGAUGGAAAAGACAACAAAAGCAUCUCCCAUCAUUUUGGCGUGGCUCAGAUCAAGAGGAGAAAUUUAAAAAAGGUGAUGGUUGGGCACACACAAGAAGACAUAGAUCACUGGCGUAUAGCAUAUGAGUAGACAGGAGUUUCACACUCUGCCAGACUUACUUCCUCAGACGAGCAGAUUUAGGCUUCUCAAGAUCACGCACUGCACACUAAGACAUAGUCUUUGACUACAACAAGGCCUUAGGGGAUGAAAGUACAGAGAGGUCCAAUUGAAAUCAAUUCUGUGCUGCAUCAUUUCUUUAUUCUAGAGGUUGAUGGACAUGAUUUAUGGCAUCAAGUGUGCAGUUUGUCAACUAACUAUCAACACAGCAGUCUUGUUUACCAGCUCUGUGCAACUUGAGCUUUUAGCUUUAUUGCUUGAAGCCACUGUAUAAGAGGAGGGAAGGUGCAGACUCAUCAAAAAGUCUCAAGGUUGAAACUAGGAAGAGAAGUUUGUCAAGAGUGUGAAUAUUUGCUUUGAAAACAAUUGUUACAAUGAUUUGGUUUCCUUUGAAACUUGAUACAUACUAUGUGUAUGUUGAAUGAAUUGAGAUGCUUAAAUAAAGAACCACUAUUCAAAUAUCAGGAAACUGCAUUUUUCAUACUAAAUUGGUAAAUGAUGUCACGAUUUCCUGUAUGUAUUUAAAUAAGAUAUGUUUCCACAAUUAAUAUUUUUAGGGACUAUUUCUCAACGUAAUGAAAUAGAUUAAAUUUGUACAGCGUUAUAUGAGCUUAAUAUGUGUUUUCUGUUUCCUUAAAAUUGAUGAAAAAUUGUCAGAAGGUAAUGAGACCAGUAUCCAUUACUGCAAUCAUACAAUAAAAAAUACAGGGACAAGCCCACUGCUCAUAUAAUAUGAUUAAACCUUGUUUAGGGGCAUGAGGCAAACAGAGUUACUUUCAAAUGUUAAAGAUGCACUCUCACACUUUGGAUGUUUAUGCCCCCACAAAGUGGCGGCAUAUAUAGGGUUGCCCUUGUCCGUACGUACGUCUGUCCGUACGUACGUACGUACGUACGUACGUCCCGAAGAUUGUUUCCGAUCUAAUUCUUGAAAACCGUUUGUCCAAUCCUCACCAAACUUUAAACACAUGUUUGUGACCAUAAUAUCUUGAUCAAGUUCGAUAGUCAUGGAAAUCGCUUUAGUCAUUUAGGAGUUACGGCCCUUUUUUGCCAAAAAUUCCCGAAGAUUGUUUCCGAUCUAAUUCUUGAAAACCGUUUGUCCAAUCCUCACCAAACUUUAAACACAUGUUUGUGACCAUAAUAUCUUGAUCAAGUUCGAUAGUCAUGGAAAUCGCUUCAGUCAUUUAGGAGUUACGGCCCUUUUUUGCCAAAAAUACUUCAAAAAUAUAUGUUUCCAAUCUAAUUCUUGAAAAGUAUGUGUCCAAUCCUCACCAAACUUUACAUACAUGAUUGUGACCAUAAUAUCUUGAUCAAGUUCGAUAGCCAUGGAAAUCGCUUUUGUCAUUUAGGAGUUACGGCCCUUUAUUUGCAAAAAAAGACUUGAAAAAUACGUCCCGAAGAUUGUUUCCGAUCUAAUUCUUGAAAACUGUUUGUCCAAUCCUCACCAAACUUUUAACACAUGUUUGUGACCAUAAUAUCUUGAUCAAGUUCGAUAGCCAUGGAAAUCGCUUUAAUCAUUUAGGAGUUAGGGCCCUCAGAUUAUCCUGAAUAAUCAUUAUGGCUUAUUUUCUGUGACAAAAAAGUGGGGGCAUCCGUGUCCUAUGGACACAUUUCUAGUUUGACAACUGUUUUCAUUUUUAGCUCUACUGGCCAAAGGCCAAAAGAGCUUAUGCGAUGGUAAUGUGUACGUAGUAUGUGCGUCUGUAAACAAUCCUCGUUUACAUGAUACAGCCUACAGUUCCUUUCGAAAACCAGCCAGAUCCGCCCAUGUAUGCCUAGUUUAUGGGCCUUGAUAGUAUACAAAAAUCAGUGUGUCAGUAGGCAAUUGCUCGUUAACAUGAUACAGCCUUUUUGAUUGUAUCUCAAUGAAACUUGUACAGUAUCUACAUAUCCAUAUGAGCUCGGUUCCUUUCGAAAACCAGCCAGAUCCGCCCAUGCAUGCCAAGAUUAUGGGCCUUGAUAAUAAAAAAAAAUAGUGUGUCAGUAAACAAUUGCUCGGUAACACGAUACAGUCUUCAGUUUUGAUUGUAUCUUGAUGAAACUUGUCCAGUAUAUCCAUUAGAGCUCAGUUCCUUUCAAAAACCUGAUCUGCCCAUGUUUCCUGGAUUAUUGGCCUUGAAAUUAUUAGAUGAUGGGCCUUGAUAGUAUAAAAAAUGCUAUUUUGUAAUAAAUGCUUGCGAAUAUGAUACAGUCUUCAGUUUUGAGUAUUCAGAUACCCAUAAGGGGUUGGUUCUUUUCGAAAACAGUGAUGUUGACCACACAAACCCAGCCAGUAGUGCAUAGGCCCUUUUGUUUGUUUUGGAUUGGUACCAUCCAGUCUUUGCGAAAAAUGCAUGGAAACCAGUAAUAUAAGACUACUGACAAAAAAUUCAAUUGCAGACUUUUUUAUUUAAGUUAAAACAUUGAUGUUUUAUGCACUUUUCUUAAAUAACAUUAAUCUUCGAAGGAAAUAUGAAAUCUGGGAUUUGAUGUUUUGUCAGCAAGCUUUUACCAUUGGUUUGCUGAUAUUUACGCAAAAAUUUGCUCAUUCCAAGACAAAACAAAAGUUGUUAAAACGGUAUAUCUGUGAGAAUGCAGCUCUAAAUGUUUUGGCAAACAUGUUUUUGAUUUGGCAGCACAAUCAAUCUUGAACAUUGCUUGAUUUUACUGCUGUAUUAGAAAUUACAGGGGUAAUGGGGGAUUUUUUUUAGUGUUUUUAUUGCUUUUUGUGAUUCAUACAGUCAUACUUCAUUCCCCAGGGCACAACUUACAAAUAGACAAAACAGGAAAAUGGUCAUUUUAAAAGGUCAAGGACAAUGCAAGUUAAACAAUCAUAUUGUUCAUGGCUUGUAUUUUUGGUAUAUUUUGUUGCAUAUAUGCUAUAAAAAAGUUGAAAGUUAAAAAUAACUUCAUAGUUGAAAUGAUGGCUUUGAAUGGUUUUGUCAGUUGAGAAACAGCACUAUUAAGAAAUAUGUUAAUGGUACUUUAUUAUUUUAAUCAAUUUUAGAUAUUUGUAUGAAAAUUAUUAUCUUAUUUUGUACAUGAGACCUUUUAAACAGUUAUUUAUAAUUUAACAAUGGGUAAAUGAUCAAAACUUAAAGCUGCACUUUCACAGAUUGUCAUUUUAGACACUUUAAAAAUUUUGUCUCAAAAGCUGAUUUGGUUAUCAUUCCUUUAAUUCAGUCAUAUUAGAUAAUUCACAAUAGAACCAAUCAAAAAUGUUUGGUAAGACUGCCGAAAAGUUCAUUUACAUUAAAUUGUUCGUAAUGCUACUAUACCCAUAAAACAUCAUUUUAGCCAUAAAUAUGACAAAAUGCAAUCUGAUCUUAUUUCAGCAGUCUUAUAUCACUUAAAAUUGGGUCUAUGCAAAAAAUGGUCUAUUUAUAGACCAACAAUAAAAGAGUGCCGGUAGUCAAAACGAUCAAUUAGUGAGAUUGCAGUUUUAAAUACACCUUUUUAAGUCCGCUGUAAAAUUCCAAUGGUUUGCCUCAAUCUUUAAAGCUAGCAUACUGUUUAAUUGACAGCCAUACUUUUUGUUUAAAAGUGUCAUGAUAUGUUUGUACAAUGUGUUUAUAUAAUUCAUUAAAGAAGUCAAAACAAAUUUGUUUAUCUUGUAAUUUGUUUUCUAUUAUUUAAAUGACCCAGACGAAAAUUGGGAACGUCAGUGCUAGUUCUUUUACUGCUAAUAUUCAAUGAAGUUUCUAUUGGUGUAGCAGCAAGGAGGUGUUACA